GUGUGUAGGGAAGUGUGGUGACGUGUACUAUUUAAAGCUCCCUGGGUGGACGAUGGAGACAGAGUGAUGAGGUACUGUUACGUGUAGCAGCAGGUUGAUGGCGUGCAGCCCUCCCCUCCCAUCAAUGGGCUGUGCACGACGGUUGCGUCUGCCUACUACGAGGGGACGGGCGGGUGGUGGCGGAGGUGUGAGGCAGGGGAAGGGGAUGCAAACAGGUAAAUUAGCGGCUCGGAGGUGCCGUUGUAGCUGGACACCAUCUGACGCUACGCUAGCUCUGUCUCGCCAGUGGGACUGAGCCUGCGGCUCUGCCGCAGAGGAGUACGGGCUCGACGGCGGCCCCUACUGCUGGCAGUGACCGACACACCGCGCGCCUAGGACAAUGCCCGCCCGCUCGCCGCAGAAGGCGUGACGGCGAGGAGGCGAGGAGCGAAUCCGCCGCUGCAGGAGGGAAGAGCGGCGCUCCGCAUCUCAACANNNNNNNNNNNNNNNNNNNNNNNNNNNNNNNNNNNNNNNNNNNNNCUCUGUGCCCGGGGGGGACGUGCGGCCACUGUAUGCCUCUAGCUGCCGCACGCUGGGAGCCAGAUGCCAGCCCCGGUGCCGCGGCUUACUCUGUUUCCUCAGGAAAAUGCGUCGAUGCCCGCCACAUUGCCGGUGGGAGUGCUAGGGGAAGCGGCGGCGCGGAGCCCUGCGCUCAUUGUCUGCCUCAUACCGCUCCUCUGAGGAGCACGGAGCCCUCGGCGGCCGCUCAACCUUCCAGCGAGAAGCGUCGCAGCAGCCGCCAGCCCCUCGCGGAGAAGGCAAGCGUCUCCCCAUCUGCCUGCAGGAGGGGAUCCGUCUGCCCCCGGAACCGCCGCCACCCACCCGGGGGCUGGAGCCGACGUCUGCGGGUGCCUGGCGGGGCCCGCGGCUAUGAGAGCCCAGCCUGUGGGGGGUGUUCCCUAGGGUGCGGGCGGCCCUGCUCGGCCUGGCAGUUGCGAGCGGCCAGCGCAGCCACAGCAGAGCGGCAGGCGAGACGAGGCGCAGCGAGGAGCAUCCCGGAGACGCGGCGCCACCGGCCGCCAUGGGAGGGCGUCAUCUCCCUGUGAAGGUUGGGGACAGCCUUGGCUGCAGUGACCAUGAGAUGGUGUUCAGGAUCUUGUGAGGAGGAAGCAGAACAAAAAGUAGGAUCGCAACCCUGGACUUCAGGAGAGCAAACUUCAGCCUCUUCAGGGACCUACUUGCUGAAAGGCGAGACAAACAACUACAGGAAAAAUUAGAUCUCUUACUAAAUCUUACUUAAUUAGCAAAGUUGCAGGAAAAGUAUUUGAGGUGCCUGGAGGAAUCUGAGACGGAAUACGUGUGGCGAGUCUCCCUCAAGGCGGGGGACCGAAUCCUAUUAAGUGAGGAAGAGGCAGGAGGCUAUUGGGCCCUUGGAGUGUUUUUAACCAUUGCACCAGGUGAUCAAAAUUACUCGUUGACUACACGAGCUGCCUAUUGGGUCGGUGGCAUAGACCCCCAAGAAAGAGGAGAUCCCCUUGUUAUUAAGACCUCGGGGUUUUCUUUUGUAUUUUACAGGACUACUGAUGCCAAGAAACUGCACAUAGGACAACGGGUUACCCUACACUGAAAUGGAGUGUACUCAAGGGCUGUUGUAGUGGGUUUAUGUGGCAAGGUUUUGGUAGCGGGGGGCCAUAGGGAUGGCUUCUGUGAGAAGAAUCCAGAAGCUGCCCCGUGUUAGAUAAGGGCCCCGCCGCUGGCCAGAGCUGAGCCAAUAAGCGAUGUUGUUUGUGCCUCUGUGAGAACAUAUUUAAGAAAGGGAUUAAAAAACAAACAACUGCUGCUCAACAGCAGCUGGGAGAGAGAGGAGUGAGAAACAGCCUUGCAGACACCAAGGUCAGUGAAGAAGGAGGGAGAGGAGGUACUCCAGGCGCCGGAGCAGAAGGUCCCCUGUGGCCUGUGGAGAAGACCAUGGUGGAGCAGGCUGUCCCCCUGCAGUCCAUGGAGUACCACAGUGGAGCAGGGUUCCACACUGCAGCCCGUGGAGGAGACCACGGUGGAGCAGGUGGAUCUGGCCUGAAGGAGGCUGCGGACUAUGGAGAACCCUUGCUGGAGCAGAUUCCGGGCCGGACCUGUAGCCCGUGGAGAGGGGACCAUGCAGGAGCAGGUUAUCUGGCAGGAGCUGCCGCCCAUGCGGGACCCGUAUCUGGAGCAGUUCUUGAAGAGCUGCUGCCUGUGGGAAGCCCACGCAGGAUCAGUUCGGCAAGGACUGCAUCCUGUGGGAGAGACCCCAUGCUGGAGCAGGGGAAGAGAGUGACCGAGAAGUAGCGGCGGAGAUGAAGUGCUAUAGACUGACCACAACCCCCAUUCCCCCGUUCCCCCUUGCUGCUCAGGGGGAGGAGGUGGAAGAGGGUGGAUGGGGGAAGGUGUUUUUGGUUUCUUUCCUUUGUUUCUCACUUCUCUAGCUUGUUAGUAAUAGGUAAUAAAUUAUAUUAAUCUCCCCA
rnacentral:lncRNA from 1 species